rnacentral:rRNA from 1 species
UGGAUCCAGACUUUGAUCAUGGCUCAGGAUGAACGCUAGCUACAGGCUUAACACAUGCAAGUCGAGGGGCAGCAUGACCUAGCAAUAGGUUGAUGGCGACCGGCGCACGGGUGAGUAACACGUAUCCAACCUGCCGAUUAUUCCGGGAUAGCCUUUCGAAAGAAAGAUUAAUACUGGAUAGCAUAACGAGAAGGCAUCUUCUUGUUAUUAAAGAAUUUCGAUAAUCGAUGGGGAUGCGUUCCAUUAGUUUGUUGGCGGGGUAACGGCCCACCAAGACAUCGAUGGAUAGGGGUUCUGAGAGGAAGGUCCCCCACAUUGGAACUGAGACACGGUCCAAACUCCUACGGGAGGCAGCAGUGAGGAAUAUUGGUCAAUGGACGAGAGUCUGAACCAGCCAAGUAGCGUGAAGGAUGACUGCCCUAUGGGUUGUAAACUUCUUUUAUAUGGGAAUAAAGUGGGCCACGUGUGGCUUUUUGUAUGUACCAUACGAAUAAGGACCGGCUAACUCCGUGCCAGCAGCCGCGGUAAUACGGAGGAUCCAAGCGUUAUCCGGAUUUAUUGGGUUUAAAGGGAGCGUAGGCGGAUUAUUAAGUCAGUCGUGAAAGUUUGCGGCUCAACCGUAAAAUUGCAGUUGAUACUGGUAGUCUUGAGUGCAGCAGAGGUAGGCGGAAUUCGUGGUGUAGCGGUGAAAUGCUUAGAUAUCACGAAGGACUCCGAUCGCGAAGGCAGCUUACUGGACUGUAGCUGACGCUGAUGCUCGAAAGUGUGGGUAUCAAACAGGAUUAGAUACCCUGGUAGUCCACACAGUAAACGAUGAAUACUCGCUGUUUGCGAUAUACGGCAAGCGGCCAAGCGAAAGCAUUAAGUAUUCCACCUGGGGAGUACGCCGGCAACGGUGCAACUCAAAGGAAUUGACGGA